rnacentral:lncRNA from 1 species
CAGUUCUGAACAAGUCAUAAACUACAUACUCUUCACUUCUGAUAUCUGAUGGCUUAUCAGCCUUCGCAUCUCCAUGUUCAAACUAACUCUCCUUCCUCUUGUAUAUCUGAUCCAUACCCUUGAUAAUUAAAUGAUCCACCACUGUAUCUGUCGGCUUAUGACACAAGUUGCGGUAGUCAAUGCAGGGACACAACAUAUCACUCGGAUGACCCAAUCUCAAAGCUGAUUCUUUCACAAAAGCAAAUGCUCCUUCCUGAUACUCAAGGCUAGCCAUGUAAGUAACAAACAUUUUGAAACUCAUAUCUCAAACACUUUUUACUUAACCAUACAAAUGAAAAUAUAUAGAAAAUCAUACACAUACCUUGGUAGCCAAACCCAAUUCUUGUCCAUUGUUAAAUAAAACAGUGCUCCAGAUCCAAGUGUACGU